rnacentral:rRNA from 1 species
CAGCCGCCGCGGUAAUACAGAGGGUGCGAGCGUUAAUCGGAUUUACUGGGCGUAAAGCGUGCGUAGGCGGCUUCUUAAGUCGGAUGUGAAAUCCCUGAGCUUAACUUAGGAAUUGCAUUCGAUACUGGGAAGCUAGAGUAUGGGAGAGGAUGGUAGAAUUCCAGGUGUAGCGGUGAAAUGCGUAGAGAUCUGGAGGAAUACCGAUGGCGAAGGCAGCCAUCUGGCCUAAUACUGACGCUGAGGUACGAAAGCAUGGGGAGCAAACAGGAUUAGAUACCCCAGUAGUCCCUGUCUCUUAUAU